rnacentral:lncRNA from 1 species
CACAUCUUCCUGGGGAUCCAUCCGCGCCAACCAGCAGCCUCCGACCAUCUCCCUUGAUUUCCGCCGCCACCCAACCAGUGCAUCCCCUCCGAUCCAUCCUUCCCGUGCCCACCCUCUCGAUCCAGGAGCCCAAGCUCCCCUGCCUGAGGUCGCCGUCUUCGACCGGCCUCGCCGGAGACCACGCGUCUUGCUCCUCCUCGAUCUCUCCAGUCUGAACCCCAUGGCCGAGCCGCCGGAGCGAGCUCCACCAGCGACCACCUCCAACAGGACAGUUGCGUCCCUCUCCUCUGCUUCCUCCCGUUUCCCUUCUUCUCGUAUCUCUCUCUCACCUCACGGUCUCUCUCUCUUCCUUCAGGACCAACAUGAGCUGCACCCGAUCUCCUCCGCGAGCCUCGCCGGAGCCACUCGCUGGUGCGCUCCUUCACCGCGCCUCCCUGCCCCUUUCUCUUCCUCGCGUCGCGCUACUGCUCAUUUCCGCGCCUCAUCGUUGUUUUGCUACAGGAGCCAAGGCCGCCGGCUCAGUUCAUCGUGCCGCUUCCAGUCCCGCCGGAUCCGCUGCCUGCAGGCCUCAUCUCGGCCGGAUCCGCCGCUGCAGCUGUUACCUGCUUGCCCCAUCGAACCUCGCUGCAGGCCUCGCUGCCCCUGCUUCGAGUAGUGGCUCGGGAUCGAGCGCAGCCGCGCGCUUCCACCUUGUUGACCAGUCCAUGCAGGCACCAGCCGCCAGCGCCCCUGCUACGCCUCGGGAACUAGCGCGUUGACCGCGCCCCCUCCACCUCCUUGUUCGAUCCAACCAAGUGCCAGCUGCGACUGGCCCAGCCCCGCCCUUCGGCCCCCCAGCCCAUCACCGUCCGGCCCAGUGGCCCAUGGUGAGCAGCCCAGCCACGCCCAGCAGUUUCAGCCCAAUCAUGUUUUUUUUCUGCUCUCGCGAAUUUAGCAAUUAUCCACAGGAACAACAGUUUUACAAAAAACCAAAUAUCAUGCAUAUAAUAACUCCACAACCGUGCAUCAUAUAUAUAUGUAAAUUGAUUAGAAUUUCAUCUAGUUUCACAAUAUCUAGGAUUGCCUAGAAUUUGCUUGUUUGUUUGCCAACCUUUGAAUGUGCAUAACUACAUGGAAUUAUCUUGAUGAAUGAUUUCCAAAUUACUCUUUGAAAGAUUUGAAUGAAAUUUUGUCGGC